rnacentral:rRNA from 1 species
AGAGUUUGAUCCUGGCUCAGAACGAACGCUGGCGGAGUGCUUAAUACAUGCAAGUCGUGCGAGAAAAUCACCUUCGGGUGGUGAGUAGAGCGGCGAACGGGUGAGUAACACGUAAGUAACCUACCUCUAAAUUUGGAAUAACUUUGCUAACGCGAAGCUAAUACCGGAUAUGGUUCAGAUUUCGCAUGGAAACUGAAUUAAAGGUGACCUCUUCUUGAAAGUUACUGUUUAGAGAUGGGCUUGCGGACCAUUAGCUAGUUGGUGGGGUAACGGCCCAUUCCAAGGCGACGAUGGUUAGCCGACCUGAGAGGGUGAUCGGCCACAUUGGGACUGAGAUACGGCCCAGACUCCUACGGGAGGCAGCAGUAGGGAAUUUUGCGCAAUGGACGAAAGUCUGACGCAGCAACUCCGCGUGAGGGAUGAAUGCCUUAGGGUUGUAAACCUCUGUUGAGUAGGAAGAAAAGUUUAUGUGCUAAUAUCACAUAGAUAUGACGGUACUACUCGAGGAAGCUCCGGCUAACUACGUGCCAGCAGCCGCGGUAAUACGUAGGGAGCAAGCGUUGUUCGGAAUCACUGGGCGUAAAGGGAGCGUAGGCGGAAUAGUAAGUUAGAAGUGAAAUUUACAGGCUUAACCUGUAACCUGCUUUUAAAACUACUUUUCUUGAGUAUGGGAGAGGAAGAGAAUUCCAGGUGUAGCGGUGGAAUGCGUAGAUAUCUGGAAGAACACCAGUUGCGAAGGCGGUCUUCUGGCCCAAUACUGACGCUGAGGCUCGAAAGCUAGGGGAGCGAACAGGAUUAGAUACCCUGGUAGUCCUAGCCGUAAACGAUGGACACUAGAUGCUGGAGAGGUUUGUCUUUUCAGUGUCGUAGCUAACGCGUUAAGUGUCCCGCCUGGGGAGUACGCUCGCAAGGGUGAAACUCAAAGGAAUUGACGGGGGCCCGCACAAGCGGUGGAGCAUGUGCUUUAAUUCGAUGCAACGCGAAGAACCUUACCUGGUCUUGACAUGAAAGUGAAAGCCCGUAGAGAUAUGGGACCUUCCUUCGGGAACACUUUACACAGGUGCUGCAUGGUUGUCGUCAGCUCGUGUCGUGAGAUGUUGGGUUAAGUCCCGCAACGAGCGCAACCCCUGUCUUUAGUUGCCAUCAGGUAAUGCUGGGAACUCUAGGGAGACUGCCUGGUUUAACCAGGAGGAAGGUGGGGAUGACGUCAAAUCCUCAUGGCCCUUACGACCAGGGCUAGACACGUGCUACAAUGGGCGGUACAGAGGGAUGCGAGACUGCGAAGUGGAGCUAAUCCCUUAAAACCGUUCUCAGUUCGGAUUGGAGUCUGCAAUUCGACUCCAUGAAGUUGGAAUCGCUAGUAAUCGCGGAUCAGCAUGCCGCGGUGAAUACGUUCCCGGGCCUUGUACACACCGCCCGUCACAUCA